rnacentral:rRNA from 1 species
UACGAAGGGGGCUAGCGUUGUUCGGAAUCACUGGGCGUAAAGGGCGCGCAGGCGGCCAUUCAAGUCAGAUGUGAAAUCCCGGGGCUCAACCUCGGAACCGCCUUCAAUACUGGAUAUCUUGAGUUCGGGAGAGGUGAGUGGAAUGCCGAGUGUAGAGGUGAAAUUCGUAGAUAUUCGGCGGAACACCAGUGGCGAAGGCGACUCACUGGCCCGAUACUGACGCUGAGGCGCGAAAGCGUGGGGAGCAAACAGG